rnacentral:pre_miRNA from 1 species
UUUAUUUGAAUUUUAUGUGGAUAUUGGCAGUUUGAGAUUAACCAUCUCAAUAACAAACAUCUUGAAUGUGUUGAGGUUGAUCACGAUGAUGCCACGUCCGGUUUCAUUCAGGGACUUCAAUUCAGAACCAACUUCAUGGUUUUUGAACUAAUUGGAUAUGAUAAAUGGUACCAAGUUUUCACUUGCAUUCAAGGGACAUAUAUCAUUGGGUUUUUACUUUUAUGGAUAUAUGACUAUGACAUACACGAUUAGAAGCUAAAGGUUGCGGGAGGCAAGCAGUGGGAUAAUGAUCUGCAAGUGGAACUUCUUACUUUUAUCAUAUCCCAUCAGCUCGAAAGUCUUGAUGUUAGUUUUGAAUUGAAGUGCUUGAAUUAGACCAGAUGAAUAGUCAGUAGUCACAACCCUCUACAUAUAUGAGAUCUUCAGGCGUUGAGAAGAUUAAUCUCAAAACUGUAACAGAAAAGUUGGUGGA